UACGGGGGGAGCAAGCGUUGUUCGGAAUUACUGGGCGUAAAGAGCUCGUAGGCGGUUUGUCACGUCGGAUGUGAAAUCCCGGGGCUUAACUCCGGGCCUGCAUUCGAUACGGGCUGACUAGAGUUCGGCAGGGGAGACUGGAAUUCCUGGUGUAGCGGUGAAAUGCGCAGAUAUCAGGAGGAACACCGGUGGCGAAGGCGGGUCUCUGGGCCGAUACUGACGCUGAGGAGCGAAAGCGUGGGGAGCGAACAGG
rnacentral:rRNA from 1 species